rnacentral:lncRNA from 1 species
AUAUAUGAAGCCUCAUUGACUUAAAAGAGGCAUCUCAAAAGCUACAGUCAAUUUUGUGGGAUUCUUGGUUUCAUCCAUUUCACCACGCAGCUGUAGUACCAAGAGCAUUUUCUGUUGUACUUCGUGGGAUUCUUGGUUUCACUAUCCAGGUAAUAAACUAUUUUCUUACCGCGUUUUCCAAUUUUUUUGCGAUGAAAAACUUGAAUUUGGAAAUUAUGGUGCUAUGCAGUUUAAGAAGAUUUACUUCGAAUUCUUUAUAUGGAAUACAACACAAGAUUAAAUAACAUAAAAAUAGUUGAUUUUCUUGCGUGUUCGCCCAGAUUUUGGUAAAAGAUUUUCAUCCUCGACAAAUUAUUUGAUUGGGUUUGGCGGGUAAAUUUAAUCUAAAUCUCAUCACAACGAACUUCGAUGUUUAUUUAUAUCUUUUUCUUUUAACUCAAAGGGAGAGAUUUUAUUACUAGUUCUAGUCUCAAACAUGUAGUAUAACAUCACUCACAAAUUAUCUAAAUCCGUUCGAAUGUAUAAAUAUAAUUGUUAUAAUAAUUAGAUAUUUAUUUUAAAAAAUAAUUUUACUACAAGUUUCCUUUUAAACUCGUAUGGUAAUACACACUAAUUAUCCAAACUCAUUACGAAGUUUGUAAUAUAAGUACGAUUUUCUUGGUAUAUUAUAGUAUGAAGAGUUGGUCUCAUGUAUGGUGCGGACGGAUCCUACUCGCCCAUAUAGCAUAACCCGAUUCGACCCGCCUAGUUAUUUUUCGCCCAAUUUUUUUAAAACGAGGGCUUUUUUUUUUUUACUUAAAAUUACUGUUUUGUCCCAAUUAAAAACUUUGUAAAUUCACAACUAAGAAAUUUCAUGGUCAUGAAUGAGAGUAAAUUUGUAAUACUGACCAUUUCUUAUCCUUUUAUCUUAAUGAUUAUUAUUUUUAUAAUAGAAUAAUAAAUACUCUCUUCCCCAUAUUUAUGCAUAUUUUUCAUUUUUGGCAUGUCAUACUCUAUUUUUUUUAACACUAUCCCACACGUAAUUUUUACAAUGUUACCCUUGUAACUUACACUAUUUACCCACAAUCUACUUAAUAAUACUCUCAAUGUGGAACCUUUUUUUCACUAUCAAUAUUUCAAAUAACUUUUUAUUAAAACUCAUGCGUGAUACCAUGCAUAUUUAUAGAGGACGAAUGGAAUAGUAUUUCAUUACCCCUUCUAUCCACGUGUGGUUUAAGGGUACAGGUUCUCAUGGUUGGGAAAUGUGUAUAAAGUGGAUAAAUGAACUCAUCCAAAUGAAAUGUAGAUCAGGAUUGUCCACCAAAAUUGAUGUGUUCAACAAUUGAAUUUUUUUUAUAUAAAUAUUGAAUAUGUUAGUUUAGACUACAAAUUUUAUGGACAGACUUCAAAUCCUUAUGUAUUUACCCGCAGGAUGGUGUUAACAUUGCUAGCUCAAAGUUCUGGUGCUGUUUACAACGGUACAAAAGACCUUGUGCGGUACAUAAAGGGCGAGCGCCGAC